GUGGGGAAUAUUGGACAAUGGGCGAAAGCCUGAUCCAGCCAUGCCGCGUGUGUGAAGAAGGUCUUCGGAUUGUAAAGCACUUUAAGUUGGGAGGAAGGGUAGUAACCUAAUACGUUGCUACUUUGACGUUACCGACAGAAUAAGCACCGGCUAACUUCGUGCCAGCAGCCGCGGUAAUACGAAGGGUGCAAGCGUUAAUCGGAAUUACUGGGCGUAAAGCGCGCGUAGGUGGUUCAGUAAGUUGGAAGUGAAAUCCCCGGGCUCAACCUGGGAACUGCUUACAAAACUGCUGAGCUAGAGUACGGUAGAGGGUGGUGGAAUUUCCUGUGUAGCGGUGAAAUGCGUAGAUAUAGGAAGGAACACCAGUGGCGAAGGCGACCACCUGGACUGAUACUGACACUGAGGUGCGAAAGCGUGGGGAGCAAACAGGAUUAGAAACCCGAGUAGUCC
rnacentral:rRNA from 1 species